GACGAACGCUGGCGGCGUGCUUAACACAUGCAAGUCGAACGGUGAAGCGCCUUCCUUUUUGGUUGGUGUGGAUGAGUGGCGAACGGGUGAGUAACACUUGAGUAACCUGCCCCCUUCUUCUGGAUAACCGCAUUAAAGUUUGUCUAAUACGGGAUAUUCUGGGUCUGUCGCAGGAUUGGUCUGUUAAGGAUGUUGUGUCUGGGGUGGAUGCGCUGGCGCCCUAUCAUCGUGUUGUGGGGGUGAUGGCCUACGACGGGUGUGACGGGUCGCCGGCCUGGGGGGGUGGACGGUCAGAGUGGGAAUGAGACACGGUCAAGACUCGGACGGGAGGCAGAAGUGUGGAGUAGUGAACAAUGGGGGAAAGUGUGAUGCAGCGAGGACGCGUGAGGGAUGGCGGCCUGCGGGUUGUGAACGUCUUUGGCUAGUGAAGCAGGCCUGCCUCGUUUGUGGGUGGGUUGACGGUAGCUGGAUAAGAAGCGCCGGCUAACUACGUG
rnacentral:rRNA from 1 species